GGAGUCGGCCAGGCAGUCGCUGCUGCAUCCGUGUAGCAGAGGAAAGUCCGGGCUCCAUAGGGCAGAGUGCCAGGUAACGCCUGGGAGGCGCAAGCCUACGGAAAGUGCCACAGAAAAUAUACCGCCAGCGGCCUUCGGGCUGAGGUAAGGGUGAAAUGGUGCGGUAAGAGCGCACCGCGCUUCUGGCAACAGAAGUGGCAGGGCAAACCCCACUCGGAGCAAGACCAAAUAGGGGAACAUUGUGCGGCCCGCAUGGUUCCCGGGUAGGUUGCUUGAGGUGUGUGGUGACACACAUCCCAGAUGAAUGACUGUCCACGACAGAACCCGGCUUACCGGCUGACUCCCACC
rnacentral:RNase_P_RNA from 1 species